GUCGAGAAUAAUUCACAAUGGGGGAAACCCUGAUGGUGCAACGCCGCGUGGAGGAUGAAGGUCUUCGGAUUGUAAACUCCUGUCAUCCGGGAGUAAGACCUGGCUGUGAAUAGCAGACAGGGUUGAUAGUACCGGAAGAGGAAGGGACGGCUAACUUCGUGCCAGCAGCCGCGGUAAUACGAAGGUCCCGAGCGUUGUUCGGAAUCACUGGGCGUAAAGGGAGCGUAGGCGGCGUGGUAAGUCAGAUGUGAAAUCCCGGGGCUCAACCCCGGAACUGCAUCCGAUACUGCCGUGCUAGAGGAGUGGAGAAGUAGCUGGAAUUCUUGGUGUAGCAGUGAAAUGCGUGGAGAUCAAGAGGAACACUCGUGGCGAAAGCGAGCUACUGGACAAUAUCUGACGCUGAGGCUCGAAGGCCAGGGUAGCGAAAGGGAUUAGAUACCCGAGUAGUCC
rnacentral:rRNA from 1 species